rnacentral:rRNA from 1 species
UAUCUCUGUAGAGUCUGCAUAUCAAUAAGCGGAGGAAAAGCAAUGGCAUUUGUACAUCUUCAUGUCCAUAGUGAAUACAGUCUUUUAGACGGUGCCUGCCGCAUCCGCGAUCUCGUAAAGCGCGCCUGCGACCUUGGACAGCCCGCCGUUGCCAUCACCGACCACGGCGUUAUGUACGGCGCUGUCAAUUUUUACAAGGAAGCACAAAAGCAGGGAAUUAAGCCCAUAAUCGGCUGCGAGGUUUACGUUGCACCCCGAAGCCGCUUUGACAAAGAGCGUGAGCUGGACUCUACCCGCUAUCACCUUGUGCUGCUUUGUAAAAAUGAGACAGGCUAUAAAAACUUAUGCCAGUUAGUCAGCCGCGCUUUCACGGAAGGAUAUUAUGUAAAGCCGCGAAUCGACAAAGAGCUUCUCAAAAAGCACAGCGAGGGUCUUAUCGCCCUGUCUGCCUGCGUUGCAGGUGAGAUCCCAAGAUGCAUAGCAGAAGGCGAUUACGAAGGGGCAAAGCGUACUGCUUCGGAAAUGCGCGACCUGUUCGGCGAGGACAGCUUUUAUCUCGAGCUGCAGGACCACGGCUUAAAAGAACAGGCACAGGUAAACGAGGGAAUACUGCGCAUUCACAGAGAAACAGGCAUCCCCCUUGUUGUCACAAACGAUGUUCAUUAUCUCACCCGUGAUGAUACCUACGCUUAGGAUGUUGACUGAUAUGUAGUCGUA